UGGCAGCGUGACUCCAGACCCCG
rnacentral:misc_RNA from 1 species